rnacentral:rRNA from 1 species
UCCUACCUUAUUAACGGCUGAACCAGCAACUUGGGGGAAUGUAUAGCUCCGGCUAACUAUAUUUAGUUUUUUACUAUAAUAAUAAAAAAUGUAAAUAUUUUAUAUAUUGAAAAAAUAUAGUAUCGAUUUUGUCGAAUAAAGUUCUAGAUAGAAUACUGAUUAUGACUAUUUUCUAUCUAUAUGUCUUGACCAAAUUACGUGCCAGCAGUCGCGGUAAUACGUAGAAGACUAGUGUUAUUCAUCUUUAAUAGGUUUAAAGGGUACCUAGACGGUAAAAUUAGUCUAAAAUAUGAUACGGUUUUACUAGAGUUAUAUAUAAGGAGGUGAGUAUUUAAGGAGUAGAGUUGAAAUUCAGUCAUACCUUAAGGACUGGUAAUGGCGAAAGCAACCUUUUAUCUAAUAACUGACGUUGAGGGACGAAGGCUCGGGUAGCGAACAGGAUUAGAUACCCUGGUAGUCCAAGCAGAAAAUUAUGAAUGCCAUAGAUUAGAAUAUUUUUAGUUUAUAAAUGAAAGUGCAAGCAUUCCACCUCAAGAGUAAUGUGGCAACGCAGGAACUGAAACCAUUAGACCGUUUCUGAAACCAGUAGUGAAGUAUGUUAUUUAAUUCGACGUUACGCGAAAAACCUUACCACAAUUUGUAUAGUAUCCCUGAAAAGGUACUACAAGCGUUGCACGGUUGUCUUCAGUUAAUGUCGUGAGAUAUUGGUUAAUUCCAUUAAAUUAACGGAAACCCUUGCUUUAUUUGCAAGAUUUAUAAAUAAAGCAGUUCACCAGUAUAACGGAAAUGAUAACAGGGACCAAGACAAAUCAUCAUGGCCUGCCGAGCGAUGUAGGAGAUCGCUCAUGUGGGUAAAACUAUCAAACUCCGGGGACCCCCUAAAGCUUCUGGUACCAAGCUAUAGUUGAAAAACUAUAUGUGGCUGAAGUAAUUACUCAGGUUUUUUAUUAGAUUAUCUAUUAAAUAAUCUAAUAGAUAAGGUAACAAGUCAGAAGAUAAUCGAAAGAGCAAUGGGAUAUCGCGGAACUAAGUCAGUAACAGGUUUAAAUAAACCCACAAGCCAAACUAAAUCUGUUACUGUAAAAGCGCAACGAGUAGACGGUAGUUGAUGCAUUAAACCAGCAGUAAAUAAAAAAUUAAUGCAUUUAAGGUAUACUCUAAUGGGCUUCGAAAGAGGUUAUCAAACCAGAAUCCCGUCUAAUCAGAUAAACAUAAGAAGAUUAACCACUAUACAUAUACCUCAUAAUCAAAUGAAUCCUUGAUUCUUAACCGGGUUUUCGGAUGCAGAGGGUUCAUUCUCUAUUUUAGUUCAGCAUAAUAUUAAAUAUAAUACCAAUUGAAGAAUUAAAGCUGUUUUCGCUAUAGGACUACACAAAAAAGACACAGCUAUAUUGGAAAAAAUUCAAACCAUGUUAGGUGUAGGUAAUAUACAUAAACAUGGUAAAGAUUCAGUCCAAUUUAGAGUAGACUCUAUUAAAGAAUUACAGAUUAUCUUAGACCAUUUUGAUAAGUAUCCUCUUAUGUCUGCAAAAAUAGCAGAUUAUAUAUUAUUUAAAAAAGCUUUUAAUAUUAUUAAGGCUGGAGAACAUUUAAAUAAAGAAGGCUUGUUAAAAAUAAUAGGUAUAAAAGCCUCUCUAAAUUUAGGUUUAUCACCUAACUUAAAAGAAAGUUUCCCAAACUUUGUAUUGGUUAGUAGACCAGAAUAUUCUUUUAAAGAGAUUAUUCAUCCUGAGUGAGUCGCAGGAUUCAUAAGUGGAGACGGUAGCUUUAAUAUAAAAACUAGUAGCUCUAUAAGCAGUAAAUUGAGCAGCAGAGUUCAACUAAGAUUCGGAGUAGGUUUAAACCUUAGAGAUAAGGAACUUAUCCAAGGUCUGGUGGUUUUCUUUAAUUUAGAACAAGGUAAACAUAUACACACUACAAGUGAUUCUGUACAUCUUGAAAUUUCCAAAUUCACAGACAUUGUAAAUAUAAUAAUACCGUUUUUUGAUAAGUACCCUAUACAAGGUAUAAAAAGCUUAGAUUUUUCGGAUUUCAAGAAAGUGGCAUCAAUUAUGGAAAAUAAAGGGCAUUUGACCCUAAAUGGUUAUAAUAAUAUUGUGAGUAUUAAAGAGGGAAUGAAUAAAAAUAGAUUAUAGUUAAAAUACUAGUUGUCUAUAAUAAAGGACGCUUUAAACAUAGAUUAACUUUUAAACCCACAGGCUUAAGGUUAAUGUAUGUUUAUCUGCAUGACAAAUCUGGUCGCUAUGAAAUAUUGUGGGCUAUAGACGUGCUGCAUAUUCCUGCUUCUUGAGCUAGGGCCUCAAGUCUGCGGGACAAACUAUCAAACUCCGGGGACACCCUAAAGCUUAUGGUACCAAGCUUUAGUCGAAAGGCUAUAAGUGGCUGAAGUAAUUACUCAGACUUUUUUUAUGAUUGCGGCCAUAAAAAUAAGGUAACAAGUCAUAAGAUGAUUGAAAAUGAAAUGGGUUAUCGCGGAUCUAAGUCAAUUACUAGUGUAAAUGUCCCGCAAGCCAUAAACAAACUAGUGAUUGUAAAAGAGCAACGAGUAGACGGUAGUUGAUGCAUUAAUCCCGGUUACGGCUUGGCUCCAGCGGGCCAAGUAAUGCAUUUAAGGUGUACUCUAAUGGGUUCCGAAAGGAAUUAUCAAGCCAAAACCCUUUCUAAGAUACGUGUUAAUCAAAUUCAAGCUAUACGCUCUUAUUCUACUAUUAUACACACACUUAACUUAGAAAAUACUAUUAUGAAUAAUCCUUGGUUCAUAACAGGGUUUUUUGAUGCAGAGGGAUCUUUUUCUAUUUCUUUAAGAAAUAAAGGAGGCGUUACAUAUUGUGAAGCUAGAAUGGCUAUUAGUUUACACAAGAAGGAUUUAGAUACUUUAAAAAGUAUUCAAGCAUACUUUAAUGGUAAAGGUAGUUUAAUAAAGCACGGUGAGGAUAGUCUUCAAUAUGUUAUUACUUCUGUAGGUCAACUUUCUACUUUAGUUGUACCACAUUUUGAUAAUUAUCCUUUAGUUAGUAAAAAAUAUGCUGACUAUCUUUUAUUUAGAAAGGCUGUUCUUUUAAUCAGAAAUAAAGAACAUUUAACCAUAGAAGGAAUACAAGAGAUUGUGUCCAUUAAAGCUUCUAUGAAUAAAGGUUUAUCUGAUGAACUACAGAGAGCUUUCCCUAAUAGAAUUGAAGUUCCUAGGCCUUUAGUGCCAGACUGUAUCAUACCUGAUCCUCAAUGAAUAGCUGGGUUUACAUCAGGUGAAGGUUGUUUUAUGAUUAAAAUUAGCAAGUCUCCUGCGUCUAAAUUGGGAUUUGGAAUACAAUUAAUAUUCCAACUAACUCAAGAUAACAGGGACGAAGAGUUAAUGAAGUGUAUACUAGCCUAUUUCGGAUGUGGUAUAUUAGUGAAGGAUGGUACUAAAACUGUUUUUUUUGUCAGAAAAUUUACUGACAUUAUAGAUAUAAUUAUACCCUUUUUUAAUAACCACAAAGUAGUAGGUGUAAAGUUACAAGAUUACUUAGAUUGAUGUAAAGGUGCGACGAUAGUUAAGGUCAAAGGUCAUUUGACUCUGCCUGGACUAGAGGAACUCCAAAAAAUAAAAGCAGGUAUGAAUCGUAAGAGAGUAUAAUCACAGGUUAGGUUGUAUAAUAGUAUAAAGUAAUAUAAUAUAGUGUUGAGCUCUGUGGUUAAAUAUGUAUUAAGACAAAUUUGGUCUGCCAUGAUACAAAGAGAUGCAAAAAUGUGAGUUUAAGCUAAUCUCAAAAAGUAGGAUAAAAUAUGGAUUGUAGUCUGAAAUUCGACUACAUGAAUAAGGAAUUACUAGUAAUCGUGAAUCACCACGUCACGGUGGAUUUAAUCUCAGAUAGGUACUAACUACUCGUCAGGCGCCGAAAGAAGUAUGUGCAAUAAGUUUGGCUAACUAUUAUAAUUUAAUUCUAGAUAAAUGGGUCUGGUUAUUAUAGUGGAAGGUUUUCGUAUGCGUGACUUUAAUUGGUGUUAAGUCGAAAUAUGGUUCGUGUAGUGGAAAUUGCACGGGAUUAAUU